rnacentral:rRNA from 1 species
ACGAACGCUGGCGGCAGGCCUAACACAUGCAAGUCGAACGCAUUGACCUUCGGGUUGGUGAGUGGCGCACGGGUGAGUAACACGUGGGAACGUACCCUUUGGUUCGGAAUAACGUUUGGAAACGAACGCUAAUACCGGAUGAGCCCUUCGGGGGAAAGAUUUAUCGCCAAAGGAGCGGCCCGCGUCUGAUUAGCUAGUUGGUGGGGUAAAGGCCUACCAAGGCGACGAUCAGUAGCUGGUCUGAGAGGAUGAUCAGCCACACUGGGACUGAGACACGGCCCAGACUCCUACGGGAGGCAGCAGUGGGGAAUAUUGGACAAUGGGCGCAAGCCUGAUCCAGCCAUGCCGCGUGAGUGAUGAAGGCCUUCGGGUUGUAAAGCUCUUUCGCACGCGACGAUGAUGACGGUAGCGUGAGAAGAAGCCCCGGCUAACUUCGU